rnacentral:rRNA from 1 species
GACGAACGCGUGGCGGCGUGCCUAAUACAUGCAAGUCGAACGAACGGGUUGGAGGAGCUUGGCUCUUCAUGAAGUUAGUGGCGGACGGGUGAGUAACACGUGGGUAACCUGCCCUUCAGUGGGGGAUAACAUCCGGAAACGGGUGCUAAUACCGCAUAGUUCUUUUUCCGCCUGGAAGAAGAAGGAAAGAUGGCCUUUGCGCUAUCACUGAGGGAUGGACCCGCGGCGUAUUAGUUAGUUGGUGGGGUAAAGGCCUACCAAGGCGAUGAUGCAUAGCCGACCUGAGAGGGUGAUCGGCCACACUGGGACUGAGACACGGCCCAG